rnacentral:rRNA from 1 species
GAUGAACGCUGGCGGUGUGCCUAAUACAUGCAAGUCGAGCGGCCGGACGAGAAGAGUUUGUUCUUGAUGUUAGCGACGGACGGGCGAGUGACAAGUGGAUAGGAAUCUUAUUAGACUGGGAUGACUUCGGGGAACAGGAGCUGCUACUGGCUGAUACUUUGAACUGGUUGGAUCAGGAGUGAUAGACGGCUUUGGCGUUUGUAAGAGACGGAUCCGCGUUGCAUUAGCUAGUUGGUAAGGUAACGGCCUACCAAGGCAACGAUGCAUAGCCGAUCUGAGAGGGUGAUCAGCCACACUGGAACUGAGACACGGUCCAGACUCCUACGGGAGGCAGCAGUGGGGAAUCUUGGACAAUGGGCGCAAGCCUGACCCAGCAACACCGCGUGGGUGAAGAAGGCCUUCGGAUCGUAAAGCUCUGUUAUUGGGAAAGAACAUCAGUAGAUUUAUCUCCCGACGUCCUGACGGUACCUAAACAGAAAGCCACGGCUAACUUCGUG